CCUACGGGAGGCAGCAGUGAGGAAUAUUGGUCAAUGGGCGAGAGCCUGAACCAGCCAAGUCGCGUGAGGGAAGACGGUCCUAUGGAUUGUAAACCUCUUUUGCCGGGGAGCAAAAAGCGGUACGUGUACCGCAUCGCGAGUACCCGGAGAAAAAGCAUCGGCUAACUCCGUGCCAGCAGCCGCGGUAAUACGGAGGAUGCGAGCGUUAUCCGGAUUUAUUGGGUUUAAAGGGUGCGCAGGCGGCGAGUUAAGUCAGCGGUAAAAUUUCGGGGCUCAACCCCGACAAGCCGUUGAAACUGGCUUGCUAGAGUGGGGGAGAAGUAUGCGGAAUGGGGGGUGUAGCGGUGAAAGGCAUAGAUAUCACGCAGAACUCCGAUUGCGAAGGCAGCAUACCGGCGCCAACUGACGCUGAGGCACGAAAGCGUGGGUAUCGAACAGGAUUAGAUACCCUUGUAGUC
rnacentral:rRNA from 1 species